rnacentral:rRNA from 1 species
AACCUUUUGGAGCCAGCCGUCUAAGGUGGGACAGAUGAUUAGGGUGAAGUCGUAACAAGGUAGCCGUAGGAGAACCUGCGGCUGGAUCACCUCCUUUCUAAGGA